rnacentral:rRNA from 1 species
UACGGAGGGUGCGAGCGUUGUUCGGAAUUACUGGGCGUAAAGGGCGCGUAGGCGGCCUUGCAAGUCAGAUGUGAAAGCCCGCGGCUUAACCGUGGAAGUGCAUUUGAAACUGCGAGGCUAGAGUAUGUCAGGGGGAGAUGGAAUUCCCGGUGUAGAGGUGAAAUUCGUAGAUAUCGGGAGGAAUACCGGUGGCGAAGGCGAUCUCCUGGGGCAAUACUGACGCUGAGGCGCGAAAGCGUGGGGAGCAAACAGGAUUAGAUACCCUGGUAGUCCACGCCGUAAACGAUGUGCACUAGGUGCAGGUGGGUGUUGAUCCUAUCUGUGUCGCAGCUAACGCAUUAAGUGCACCGCCUGGGGAGUACGGUCGCAAGAUUAAA